AAAAUAAAGAAAAGAAAAUAUCAUCUUCUCUUCAUCUUCUCUCCACCGAAAAAUGGCAGCAAAGAAAGGGUUUAGAAGCUGGAAACUUUCAGCAAAGAAACUCCCUUUAUAUUUCCAGGUUAGCUCGGGUUGGAGGCCAUCAGAGAUAUUAUCACCCUGUCGAGUUAACGCUAUCGGCGUAAGUAAACUCAAGUGAUUCUAGUCUAUGGCAUGUAUAGGGUUUUAAUGUGAGUAUGUAAUAUUAUGAUUUAGCCAAAGGCAUUGGCUUGUUAUUAAGGUAGUAUUGUAAUAUUAUGAUUUAGCCAAAGGCAUUGGCUUGUUAUUAAGGUAGUAUUAGUCAUGUAAAUUGGCCUAUGUCGGCUAAUAUCGUUAUGGGCCCAUAUGAUUAUUCUUAUGCAUGUAUAUUAUUAUCUUUUGUGAUGUGGCUUACAACAUGUAUGCCUAGAGAUUGAAUUGAGAUUCAUUGAUGAGCUAAUAACUAAUGCAGGAUUAAGUGAUUGGUAAA